CACAUGCAAGUCGAACGAUGAUCUCCAGCUUGCUGGGGGGAUUAGUGGCGAACGGGUGAGUAACACGUGAGUAACCUGCCCUUAACUCUGGGAUAAGCCUGGGAAACUGGGUCUAAUACCGGAUAUGACUCCUCAUCGCAUGGUGGGGGGUGGAAAGCUUUUUGUGGUUUUGGAUGGACUCGCGGCCUAUCAGCUUGUUGGUGAGGUAAUGGCUUACCAAGGCGACGACGGGUAGCCGGCCUGAGAGGGUGACCGGCCACACUGGGACUGAGACACGGCCCAGACUCCUACGGGAGGCAGCAGUGGGGAAUAUUGCACAAUGGGCGCAAGCCUGAUGCAGCGACGCCGCGUGAGGGAUGACGGCCUUCGGGUUGUAAACCUCUUUCAGUAGGGAAGAAGCGAAAGUGACGGUACCUGCAGAAGAAGCGCCGGCUAACUACGUGCCAGCAGCCGCGGUAAUACGUAGGGCGCAAGCGUUAUCCGGAAUUAUUGGGCGUAAAGAGCUCGUAGGCGGUUUGUCGCGUCUGCCGUGAAAGUCCGGGGCUCAACUCCGGAUCUGCGGUGGGUACGGGCAGACUAGAGUGAUGUAGGGGAGACUGGAAUUCCUGGUGUAGCGGUGAAAUGCGCAGAUAUCAGGAGGAACACCGAUGGCGAAGGCAGGUCUCUGGGCAUUAACUGACGCUGAGGAGCGAAAGCAUGGGGAGCGAACAG
rnacentral:rRNA from 1 species